rnacentral:ncRNA from 1 species
AGUCCAGCGUUGAAGAGGACAUGAAUCAUUCGUACUUUUUCUUUACCAGAGAGCAGGGUCACCGGCUGAAAGCCCUGUAGAAAAGUGAAUGAUUUACCACCUUGGAGCUAUUAUGGGGAAUCAUAGUACCUAUAAUCGGGUAAUCCGUUAUCUUUUUGAGCGUAAGGUAGUCUAUACUUUACGGAAUUAGGGUGGUACCACGACCACACUCGUCCCUAUU